GUGGUAAUGCCGGAUGCUCCAUCACACCGCAUGGUGUGUUGGGAAAGCCUUUGCGGCAUGGGAUGGGGUCGCGUCCUAUCAGCUUGAUGGCGGGGUAACGGCCCACCAUGGCUUCGACGGGUAGCCGGCCUGAGAGGGCGACCGGCCACAUUGGGACUGAGAUACGGCCCAGACUCCUACGGGAGGCAGCAGUGGGGAAUAUUGCACAAUGGGCGCAAGCCUGAUGCAGCGACGCCGCGUGAGGGAUGGAGGCCUUCGGGUUGUAAACCUCUUUUAUCAGGGAGCAAGGCUUCGGUUGAGUGUACCUGUUGAAUAAGCACCGGCUAACUACGUGCCAGCAGCCGCGGUAAUACGUAGGGUGCAAGCGUUAUCCGGAAUUAUUGGGCGUAAAGGGCUCGUAGGCGGUUCGUCGCGUCCGGUGUGAAAGUCCAUCGCUUAACGGUGGAUCCGCGCCGGGUACGGGCGGGCUUGAGUGCGGUAGGGGAGACUGGAAUUCCCGGUGUAACGGUGGAAUGUGUAGAUAUC
rnacentral:rRNA from 1 species